AUGAAUUUCCUUCACGCUCGACUGCUUCAUAAAAGAAUUUGUCCUGACUCAGAUUGAACACAGUUGAAUGAUCCUAUCCAUAUUCCUGACUUCUUUACAAGACAAUGUUUUCCAUUUUCUCAAACACAGAAGUCUAAAAUUUCCAUGUUCUCAGGUGCAACAAGUGUUACUGAUUGGCCCUUUUUUCUGCCACCAACCUCUUGUUAGGGUACCAACUGGAACAAAAUGACACUGGAGAGAACUUGUGCUCUUUCAAGGAUGAAGGGGAUCCUGUUGAGGUGACAAAGAUUUACACUGCCACUUUUCACAACUGCACCAGAUAAAAUGGAGAUUCAGCUGUAAACGAGAAACCCAUCGUUUGCCCAACAUCCGCGAUCAACACCUGUUUUUUGGGCCCUUAGGAGUGUCGCUUCCAGCCACACGGCAAACUACCCCAUCCCCGACAAACAACAAGUGAACCAGAGAUCUCUCCCUGUCCCAAUGCACUAGACACUUACAGCUCCAACACUGGGCAAAGCACUCCUCUGCAGCUUUUGCAGCUGGGCUGCCCUGCCUCACUUGGAUGCAUCAACAAAGCUUGAAGUGGCCACUCUAAUCUGGUUAAGUAUUGCCUGGUUGGGGAGAAAUUAGCCGAAUUCUUUUAACUUUUCAAACAAACAUAAUA